GGGGAAUAUUGCACAAUGGGCGCAAGCCUGAUGCAGCAACGCCGCGUGCGGGAUGACGGCCUUCGGGUUGUAAACCGCUUUCAGCAGGGACGAAGCUUUUUGUGACGGUACCUGCAGAAGAAGCACCGGCUAACUACGUGCCAGCAGCCGCGGUGAUACGUAGGGUGCGAGCGUUGUCCGGAUUUAUUGGGCGUAAAGGGCUCGUAGGCGGUUGAUCGCGUCGGAAGUGGAAACUUGAUGCUUAACGUUGAGCGUGCUUUCGAUACGGGUUGACUUGAGGAAGGCAGGGGAGAAUGGAAUUCCUGGUGGAGCGGUGGAAUGCGCAGAUAUCAGGAGGAACACCAGUGGCGAAGGCGGUUCUCUGGACCUUUCCUGACGCUGAGGAGCGAAAGCGUGGGGAGCGAACAGGCUUAGAUACCCUGGUAGUCCACGCUGUAAACGGUGGGUACUAGGUGUGGGGUCCAUUCCACGGAUUCUGUGCCGUAGCUAACGCAUUAAGUACCCCGCCUGGGGAGUACGGCCGCAAGGCUA
rnacentral:rRNA from 1 species